rnacentral:rRNA from 1 species
CACGUAGGGUGCGAGCGUUGUCCGGAAUUAUUGGGCGUAAAGAGCUCGUAGGCGGUGUGUCGCGUCGGCCGUGAAAACCUGCAGCUUAACUGUGGGCGUGCGGUCGAUACGGGCAGACUAGAGUGCGGUAGGGGAGAUUGGAAUUCCUGGUGUAGCGGUGGAAUGCGCAGAUAUCAGGAGGAACACCGAUGGCGAAGGCAGAUCUCUGGGCCGUAACUGACGCUGAGGCGCGAAAGCCAGGGGAGCAAAUGGG